rnacentral:tRNA from 1 species
GGGGGUAUAGCUCAGAGGCAGAGUGCGUGCUUAGCAUACUCGAGGUCCCGGGUUCAAUCCCUGGUAUCUCCA